UUUACUUUCAGAUUGGGAAGACGGGACUGUUUUUACAUUUUAGUUAGAGGAAAAUAGAGGAAAGACUUGUACUCCACCUAAGCUUUUAUAAGUUCGGGAAGGACAAGUCUAUGUGCUCCACAACCCAGUGCAAAGCAGAAAUAAAAGAAGGCUUGCAGCUACCAGAAAGUCAUCAAGGCAUUAGUUUCUCUGAGAAGACAGAUCUGAAGAAAAUGCAAGAAAACGAGAAAAAAUAUCAACAAGGGUUCACAUUGUUUGCUGAGUCACUUCAGUCGUGUCCGACUGUAUGCAACCCCAUAGACGGCAGCCCACCAGGCUCCACCGCCCCUGGGAUUCUCAAGGCAAGAACACUGCAGUGUUGCCAUUUCCUUCUCCAAUGCAUGACAGUAAAACGUGAAAGUGAAGUUGCUCAGUUGUGUCUGACUCUUUUAGUCCCAUGAUUUUCUUUCUAUGUGUGAUAAAAUUUACCAAGAACUUUGUACUGCUUCAUCCUGAACAUAUAUCAGUUCAGUUCAGUCACUCAGUUGUGUCCGACUCUUUGUGACCCACUGGACUGCAGCACACCAGUCUUCCUUGUCCAUCAUCAACUCCUGGAGCUUGCUCAAACUCAUGUCCAUUGAACCGGUGAUGCCAUCCAACCAUGUCAUCCUCUGUCGUCCCCUUCUCUUCCUGCCUUCAAUAUUUCCCAGCAUCUUGGUGUUUUCCAAUGAGUCGGUUCUUCCCAUCAGGUGGCCAAAAUAUUGGAGUUUCUGCUUCAGCAUCAGUCCUUCCAAAGAAUACCCAGGACUUAUUUCCUUUAUAAUUGAUUGGUUUGAUCUCUUUGCAGACCAAAGGACUCUCAAGAGUCUUCUCCAACACCACAGUUCAAAAGCAUUAAUUCUUCAGCUUUCUUUACAGUCCAAUUAUCACAUCCAUACAUGACUACCGGAAACAAACAAACAAACAUAGUUUUGAUUAGACUGACCUUUGUUGGCAAAGUAAUGUCUCUGCUUUUUUUAGUAUGCUGUUUAGGUUGGUCAUAGCUUUUCUUCCAAGGAACAAGCGUCUUUUAAUUUCAAGGCCGCAGUCACCAUCUGCAAUGAUUUUGGAGUCCUAAAAAAUAAAGUCUGUCACUGUUUCCAUUGUUUCCCCAUAUAUCUGCCAUGAAGUGAUGGGACCAGAUGCCAUGAUCUUCAUUUUUUGAAUGUUGUUUUUGAAGCCAGCUUUUUCACUCACCUCUUUCACUUUCAUCAAGAGGCCUUUAGUUCUUCACUGUCUGUCAUAAAGGUGGUGUUAUCUGCAUAUCUGAGGCUAUUGAUAUUUCUUUCUGCAAUCUUGAUUCCAGCUUUUGCUUCAUCCAGCCCAACAUUUUGCAUGAUGUACUGUGCACAUAAUUUAAAUAAUCAGGAUGACAAUAUACAGCCUUGAUGUACUCCUUUCCCGAUUUGGAAUCAGUCUGUUGUUCCAUGACCAGUUCUAAGUGUUUCUUCUUGACUUACAUAGAAAUUUCUCAGGAGGCAGGUAAGGUGAUCUGGUCUUCCCAUCUGUUCAUGAAUUUUCCAUAUUUGGUUGUGAUAGAGUAAGUAAUGAAAUUUGAGGUUUGAGGAUGAAAUUAUUUAAAACACAAGAAGAAUGUUUGAAACUAAUGCAUUUUUAUUUCAGUGACCAAGGAUGUGUUCUGAGUCAAACUGCUUAUGCACACAAAAGGAUAUAUGAAUGUAUUUUUAGAAGCAAAGUAGGUUGUUUGACAAGUGGUUACAUGCAUUAUAUAUGAUUAUCUCUACUAUCUCGUUUUAUUUAAAUGAAUUUUGACUGUUCUUUAACACAACCAUUGUAAACGUCUCAAAACAUACUUUAUCCUUCUUAACACAAACUUUUCAAGGAAAACGUGCAUGACUUGUCAUAAGCAAAAGUACUUAAAUUGUAAAACUCCAUUUCCUAAGGAAAAGAGAGAUUAAAAUAACCAACCCAAAUUUCCAAAGUACACUGACAACUCAGGAGGAUGGGUUAUGUUAUGGGAGUUUUUAUAUCAGAUGGUGACUGCAGCCAUGAAAUUAAAAGACACUUACUUUUUGGAAGAAAAGUUAUGACCAACCUAGAUAGCAUAUUCAAAAGCAGAGACAUUACUUUGUCGAGUAAGGUCUGUCUAGUCAAGGCUAUGGUUUUUCCUGUGGUCAUGUAUGGAUGUGAGAGUUGGACUGUGAAGAAGGCUGAGCACUGAAGAAUUGAUGCUUUUGAACUGUGGUGUUGGAGAAGACUCUUGAGAGUCCCUUGGACUGCAAGGUGAUCCAACCAAUCCAUUCUGAAGGAGAUCAACCCUGGGAUUUCUUUGGAAGGAAUGAUGCUGAAGCUGAAACUCCAGUACUUUGGCCACCUCAUGAGAAGAGUUGACUCAUUGGAAAAGACUCCAAUGCUGGGAGGAAUUGGGGGCAGGAGGAGAAGGGGACGACCGAGGAUGAGAUGACUGGAUGGCAUCACGGACUCGAUGGACGUGAGUCUGAGUGAACUCCGGGAGAUGGUGAUGAACAGGGAGGCCUGGCAUGCUGCGAUUCAUGGGGUCGCAAAGAGUCAGACACGACUGAGCGACUGAACUGAACUGAACUGAAGGGUGGGUGGCAAUUCACCAGCAUCUUCAUAGCUAAGGGCUUGAAAAAUCUGCCUAUAGCAUUUGAGAAGCAUAAUGUAUAUACUUAAAUGGAAAUUUAUGCCUAUAUAUUUUCAACACAAAUAUUUCCAUAUCCUGGAAAGUACUGAGGUGUCCACUAAAUUUGAAAUUUCAAACUUAAACCAUCUUCUUGGAGAAAAACAAUACUGUAUAUCAAUGUCUUUCAAUGAAUUGUGUGGAAAAGUUAAUAUAUUUCAACUUAUUUUCCUUUAGCAAACUAUUGAAGUAGUACUGUUCAUAUUCACAUUUUGAUGUGUUUGUUGUAUAGGGAACAAUGAAAGCAAUAAUUUUUUGUGCUUUCUAAUUAAUUCUUCUAUCUUUUUAUACUAAGUCUAAUUGUAUUCCCAUUCCUUAACCCUUGUUUCUGUAACAGAC
ensembl:lincRNA